AAUAAUGUAGUUUUGUUUGAUAGGGAAGUUCAAUUUGGGAAAGCUGUAUGAAAAGAUUGGAUUCAAUAAGGAGAUCAUAUCAAGGGGAAAGUUUGCUGAGCUCACUGCGGCAGAGCAGCGAUCUUUCAGGCCGGAAGAAGCAGAGCUUUUUGCAAAGUCUGCCCAGCAUGCUUAUACACAAUUUCGAGAUAAAGCAGCCUAUUCAAGAUCAAUGCCUGUAGAUAAGAUGGAAGAAAAUGCACAAGGAAGAGUCUGGACCGGAAGUGAUGCUGCUUCUCGAGGACUUUGUUGAUGCUUUAGGUGGAAUGGGCCGUGCAGUUGCCAUAGCAAAGCAAAAGGCUAACAUUCCCCAAGAGCAACCGGUGACACUGGUUGAAGUGUCAAGACCAUCCCCUUCGUUGCCAGAGAUUUUGAGUGGCAUAGGGG